UUUAAAUGGCCGCAGUAUACUAACUGUGCAAAGGUAGCAUAAUCAUUAGUCUUUUAAUUGAAGGCUGGUAUGAAUGGUUGGACGAGAUAUUAACUGUUUCAUUUAAAUUUAUAAUAAAACUUUAUUUUUUAGUCAAAAAGCUAAAAUUUAAUUAAAAGACGAGAAGACCCUAUAAAUCUUUAUAUAUAAAUUAUUAGAAUUUUGUAGAUUUAUUUUAUUAUAAUAAUUAAUUAUAUUUUAUUGGGGUGAUAUUAAAAUUUAAUUAACUUUUAAUUUAAAAAAUCAUUAAUUUAUGAAUAAUUGAUCCGUUAAUAACGAUUAAAAAAACAAGUUACUUUAGGGAUAACAGCGUAAUUUUUUUGGAGAGUUCAUAUCGAUAAAAAAGAUUGCGACCUCGAUGUUGGAUUAAGAUAU
rnacentral:rRNA from 1 species